rnacentral:pre_miRNA from 1 species
AGUAGAACUGCUGAAUGAUAUGGUAAUUUUAUUUUUAAUUUUUUGAGGAACUGCUGUACUGUUUUUCAUAGUGGUUGCACCAUUUUACAUUCCCACUAACAGU